AUGAACGCUGACAGAAUGCUUAACACAUGCAAGUCGAUGGGGAAGUGGUGCUUGCACCAUGGUAACCAUGGCGGACGGGUGAGUAACGCGUAAGGAACUUGCCUGCGGGACUGGGAUAACAGCAGGAAACUGCUGAUAAUACCGGAUAAGGUCAUUAAGCUGCAUAGCUUAGUGAUGAAAGGAGACGCCUGCGGAGAGCCUUGCGUCCUAUUAGCUAGUUGGAGGGGUAACGGCCCACCAAGGCGAAGAUAGGUAGCCGGCCUGAGAGGGUGGACGGCCACAAGGGGACUGAGAUACGGCCCUUACUCCUACGGGAGGCAGCAGUGGGGAAUAUUGGACAAUGGGGGCAACCCUGAUCCAGCAAUUCUGUGUGCACGAAGACGGUUUUCGGAUUGUAAAGUGCUUUCAGCAGGGAAGAAGGAAGUGACGGUACCUGCAGAAGAAGCGACGGCUAAAUACGU
rnacentral:rRNA from 1 species